rnacentral:rRNA from 1 species
GACGAACGCUGGCGGCGUGCUUAACACAUGCAAGUCGAACGGAAAGGCCCUGCUUUUGUGGGGUGCUCGAGUGGCGAACGGGUGAGUAACACGUGAGUAACCUGCCCUUGACUUUGGGAUAACUUCAGGAAACUGGGGCUAAUAUCGGAUAGGAGCUCCUGCUGCAUGGUGGGGGUUGGAAAGUUUCGGCGGUUGGGGAUGGACUCGCGGCUUAUCAGCUUGUUGGUGGGGUAGUGGCUUACCAAGGCUUUGACGGGUAGCCGGCCUGAGAGGGUGACCGGCCACAUUGGGACUGAGAUACGGCCCAGACUCGUACGGGAGGCAGCAGUGGGGAAUAUUGCACAAUGGGCGGAAGCCUGAUGCAGCAACGCCGCGUGCGGGAUGACGGCCUUCGGGUUGUAAACCGCUUUCGCCUGUGACGAAGCGUGAGUGACGGUAAUGGGUAAAGAAGCACCGGCUAACUACGUG